AUUCAGCUGACGAGUCCCAAAUAGGACGAAACGCGCGUCAAAAUGGAU
rnacentral:hammerhead_ribozyme from 1 species